rnacentral:lncRNA from 1 species
UCAAAUCUCUCUUAUAUAUCAAUCAGUUCCUAUACACUAAUGUAUGACCACAAGAAAUAAAAAAUUGUUGCCUUUUUAUAUAGAUUUAGAAAUUGACGAAUCAGAAACACUUUUUUCAUCUCCAGAUUAGAACAACAACCCCUUCACUUCCUCCGCUCAUCAAUAAAUAUGCUUGGAACAAAUUAGCUAUGGAAGAAAGAACUUCUUG